rnacentral:rRNA from 1 species
CAGCAGGCGCGAAAACUUUACAAUGCGGGAAACCGUGAUAGGGGAACUCCGAGUGCCCGUAAAAUCGGGCUGUCCAUCGGUUUAAAUAACCGGUGAAGAAAGGGCCGGGCAAGACCGGUGCCAGCCGCCGCGGUAAUACCGGCGGCUCGAGUGGUGGCCACUAUUACUGGGCUUAAAGCGUUCGUAGCUGGUUUGUUAAGUCUCUGGGGAAAUCUUCCGGCUUAACCGGAAGGCGUCUCAGGGAUACUGGCAGACUAGGGACCGGGAGAGGUGAGGGGUACUCCAGGGGUAGGAGUGAAAUCCUGUAAUCCUUGGGGGACCACCUGUGGCGAAGGCGCCUCACCAGAACGGCUCCGACAGUGAGGGACGAAAGCUGGGGGAGCAAACCGGAUUAGAUACCCGGGUAGUCCCAGCUGUAAACGAUGCGCGUUAGGUGUAUCGGUGACCACGAGUCACCGAGGUGCCGAAGAGAAAUCGUGAAACGUGCCGCCUGGGAAGUACGGUCGCAAGGCUGAAACUUAAAGGAAUUGGCGGGGGAGCACAAGGGCGAAUCGCG